rnacentral:snRNA from 1 species
CUCCAAAUCCACUCAACG